rnacentral:rRNA from 1 species
UGCCAGCAGCCGCGGUAAUACGGAAGGUGCAAGCGUUAAUCGGAAUUACUGGGCGUAAAGCGCACGUAGGCGGAUUAGAAAGUUAGAGGUGAAAUCCCGGGGCUCAACCCCGGAACUGCCUUUAAAACUACUAGUCUAGAGUUCGAGAGAGGUGAGUGGAAUUCCGAGUGUAGAGGUGAAAUGCGUAGAUAUUCGGAGGAACACCAAUUGCGAAGGCAGUUCACUGGACCGUGAUCGACGCUGAGGGGCGAAAGCUAGGGGAGCAAACAGGAUUAGAUA